UCUUCAGGUAGGUUUUCUAAUUUUUGAAAUUCCUUUUAGAAGCCUGAACAUCGUCAGAGACCCAUUUCCAGUUAAGAUCACCCUGACAGUUAUAGGCGAGCAUUUCCCAGCUGCUGACUCCUCUGGUUGUAAAUCAUCACAGAAUUCUUUCAUGCUGAAGGACUUCCUAAAUCCAGAUAAGUAACUCCUUGGGGCCUGCCGUGUGCUGCUGGUUGUGCUGCUGUGCACAGGAAGACCGGUGCAUGACAUUAGUGCCAUCCACGCUGCGUCAAAGAGCGUGAGCCUCUGCUGAAACCUUACGAUGCCUCCCAGACACAGAGCCAGACAGCAUCCCCACAAGGCUUCCCAGUUGCAUAGAGAUCCUCGCCGUUCUUCUGAUUCCCUCACAAUGCAGACUUGAUAAGAAGAGGCUUCAGGCAAGCUGUGGAAGCCGAUCAGUUCCUGGACUGCAGUGCAAUCCUUAGUCAGGUGGGUGUAAAGGAGAGGACAGUGCGUUGUGCUGGGAGGACAGGCUUGGGUGCCAAAGCAAACUCUUAGGCUUGCACCUUAGGCUGGUCCUGCUGCCAGAGGUGAUGCGUUGUCAAACUACAGCCUCGUUUCCUUACCUAGGGUGUGUAUAAAGAGGGAUUGGCAUCAGGAACAGGCCAUUAAGCAAUUGAAACUCUAAUAGAAAAACAUAACCUUAUCACAGAUUUUUUUUAAAAAACCCUUGGAAAAUAGCUCAAAUAUAAGGUUAAUUGGAGCCAGAAAUGUCAAACUAAUGUAGCAAUUUACCCUGGGAGACUGCCCUGGCCUUUGAGUAUAGCAAUAGUACAGACUACUGAGUAGGAUAGUGGAGAAAUAUAAUAGGAUUUUAUGUAGUCCCCUGUCAUAUUAAACGUUCCUUGCAAUUAAUUUCUUGUUGCAAUGUUAUUUUCACUGACCUAUUUUUUUUGACCUCCUACGAUCUUUAAGCUACCAAAGUAGGGCGUACGGGAAUUCACAUUUCUUAAAAAAAAAUAAAAUCUUAACUUAUAACA
rnacentral:lncRNA from 1 species